UGGGGAAUAUUGGGCAAUGGACGCAAGUCUGACCCAGCAACGCCGCGUGAAGGAAGAAGGCUUUCGGGUUGUAAACUUCUUUUAAGGGGAAGGAGUAGAAGACGGUACCCUCGAUAGCAACAGGCUAACGUACAGUGCCAGCCAGCCGCCGGGUAAUACGUAGGUGGCAAGCGUUGUCCGGAUUUACUGGGUGUAAAGGGCGUGUAGCCGGGUGUGCAAGUCAGAUGUGAAAUCUGGAGGCUCAACCUCCAAACUGCAUUUGAAACUGUGCAUCUUGAGUAUCGGAGAGGUAACCGGAAUUCCUAGUGUAGCGGUGAAAUGCGUAGAUAUUAGGAAGAACACCAGUGGCGAAGGCGGGUUACUGGACGACAACUGACGGUGAGGCGCGAAAGCGUGGGGAGCAAACAGGAUUAGAUACC
rnacentral:rRNA from 1 species